AUAGGUUAUGGGAAACUUCUCGACCCCUCCUCUCUGUCUCCCCCAUCUCUCGCUGUCUCUCAGUCUCUCACACACACUCUCGCGCUGUCUCGAGCGCGCGUGGACUACCGGAGCAGGGAAGCACGCGUAAUGAGCAGAGUAUUAGCGGCAAUUUUGAACCACAGGCGCACAGGGUGGACUCGUUAGUGAGACGGCGUUUUGCGCACCAGGAACGGAUACUGCAUGCAUGGAAAGACGCUUGGACCGAAAGAGCCGGUGGGAAUAUGACCACCAUAACUGACCAGCGGAAGAGAGUGAGGCGAAAUGGAGCUGUCUGUUUUAUCCUGCAAGAAAAUCCAGCAUAAGGUGAGAAGAGAUGGCACAUGGGGUCAGAGAAGAGAAGGGUUUCUCACUGUGCUGAGUCGCAAGGUGCAGAGCAUCAAAGGAUGAUGAGGAUUAAGAGAUAUGUCCUGAAUCUGUGGGCCACAUCAUCAGCAUUGUGUGGAUGGAUGGAUGGAUGGAUGGAUUGUCUUCUUUGAAAGUUUUCCUGGAUUACAUGUAUGUGUUUGUGGAGUGCAAACCAUAUACUGGAACUGGAAUAAAUACACAGUGGCAUCUGGAUCGAAACAAGAUACAUGACUCGAACGUGGUUCAUAAGUGAAUUCACUAUGCAGUGUAUGAUUUUACUGCCUUCUCCUUGUACCAAUAUUUUCUCUCAAAAUUGCUUGAAUAUGUUUGCACUAUAAAGUUUAUUUAUACAAUAAAUAGUUUAUUUUUCUA